rnacentral:rRNA from 1 species
CCUACGGGAGGCAGCAGUGGGGAAUAUUGCACAAUGGCGGAAACUCUGAUGCAGCGACGCCGCGUGAGGGAAGAAGGUUUUCGGAUUUUAAACCUCUUUUUUUGGGGAAGAAAAUGACGGUACCCUAAGAGGAAGCCCCGUCCAACUACGUUCCAGCUGCCGCGGUAAUACGUAGGGAGCGAGCGUUGUCCGGAAUUACGGGGUGUAAAGGGAGGGUAGGCGGGGGAGAAAGUUGAAUGUUAAAUCUUCCGGCGAAACUGGGAGCUGCGUUGAAAACUUCUUGUCUUGAGUGAGGUAGAGGCAGGCGGAAUGCGUGGUGUAGCGGUGAAAUGCGUAGAUAUUAGGAGGAACACCAGUGGCGAAGGCGGCCUGCUGGGCUUUAACUGACGCUGAGGCUCGAAAGCGUGGGGAGCAAACAGGAUUAGAUACCCGAGUAGUC